rnacentral:misc_RNA from 1 species
GAUGAAGAACGCAGCGAAAUGCGAUAAGUAAUGUGAAUUGCAGAAUUCAGUGAAUCAUCGAAUCUUUGAACGCACCUUGCACUCCUUGGUAUUCCGAGGAGUACGCCUGUUCGAGUGUUAUGAAGCUCUCAAAACGCAAUUGGCUUAAAACCUGAUUGUUGUUUCGGAUUUGAACUUUGCCGUGUUAUAACGGCUGGUUUUAAAAGUAUUAGCUGGUACUAGAACGAAUUGGUUCUACUCAACGUGAUAAUUAUCUGAUCGUUGAGGACAUUCCUUUCACGAGGAAUGGCCAUAGUAAAUUCAAUGGACUGCUUCUAAUCUGGCUUUAAUUCUUUAUUGGAUUAACCACUUUUCAAAUCUGACCUCGAAUCAGGUGGGACUACCCGCUGAACUUAAGCAUAUCAAUAAGCGGAGGA